rnacentral:rRNA from 1 species
CCUACGGGUGACUGCAGUGGGGAAUAUUGGACAAUGGGGGGAACCCUGAUCCAGCGACGCCGCGUGAGUGAAGAAGUAUUUCGGUAUGUAAAGCUCUAUCAGCAGGGAAGAAAAUGACGGUACCUGAGUAAGAAGCCCCGGCUAACUACGUUCCAGCAGCCCCGGUAAUACGGAGGGGGCAAGCGUUAUCCGGAUUUACUGGGUGUAAAGGGAGCGUAGACGGCGGGGCAAGUCUGGAGUGAAAGGUGGGGGCUCAACCCCCGGACUGCACUGGAAACUGUACGGCUGGAGUGCAGGAGAGGUAAGUGGAAUUCCUAGUGUAGCGGUGAAAUGCGUAGAUAUUAGGAGGAACACCAGUGGCGAAGGCGGCCUACUGGACUGUAACUGACGUUGAGGCUCGAAAGCGUGGGGAGCAAACAGGAUUAGAUACCCUAGUAGUC